UACGUAGGGGGCGAGCGUUGUCCGGAAUUACUGGGUGUAAAGGGCCCGUAGGCGGUUAUUUAAGUCAGCUGUGAAAGUCCAGGGCUUAACCCUGGAAUUGCAAUUGAAACUGAAUAACUUGAGAUAAGGAGAGGAGAGCGGAAUUCCUAGUGUAGCGGUGAAAUGCGUAGAUAUUAGGAAGAACACCAGUGGCGAAGGCGGCUCUCUGGCCUUACCCUGACGCUGAGGGGCGAAAGCGUGGGUAGCGAACAGGAUUAGAUACCCUGGUAGUCCACGCCGUAAACGAUGAGUGCUAGGUGUUGGGUGUCAAAGCUCAGUGCCGGAGUUAACACAAUAAGCACUCCACCUGGGGAGUACGACCGCAAGGUUGAAACUCAAAGGAAUUGACGGGGGCCCGCACAAGCAGCGGAGCAUGUGGUUUAAUUCGAAGCAACGCGAAGAACCUUACCAGGACUUGACAUCGUCUGCUAGUUCAAGAGAUUGGACCUUCCCUUCGGGGACAGAUAGACAGGUGGUGCAUGGUU
rnacentral:rRNA from 1 species